rnacentral:rRNA from 1 species
GUGGGGAAUCUUGCGCAAUGGGCGAAAGCCUGACGCAGCCAUGCCGCGUGGAUGAUGAAGGUCUUAGGAUUGUAAAAUCCUUUCACCGGUGAAGAUAAUGACUGUAGCCGGAGAAGAAGCCCCGGCUAACUUCGUGCCAGCAGCCGCGGUAAUACGAAGGGGGCUAGCGUUGCUCGGAUUUACUGGGCGUAAAGGGCGCGUAGGCGGACAUUUAAGUCAGGGGUGAAAUCCCGGGGCUCAACCUCGGAACUGCCUUUGAUACUGGGUGUCUUGAGUAUGAGAGAGGUGUGUGGAACCCCGAGUGUAGAGGUGAAAUUCGUAGAUAUUCGGAAGAACACCAGUGGCGAAGGCGACACACUGGCUCAUUACUGACGCUGAGGCGCGAAAGCGUGGGGAGCAAACAGGAUUAGAUACCCGUGUAGUCC